GAGCUUGGCGGUGUUUUAGACCUCUCAGGGGAACCUGUCUCAUAAUCGACAAUCCACGUUAAACCUAACCUUUGAUGGCAAUUCAGCCUGUAUACCGUUGUCGUCAGGUAACUUCUUAAAAUAUAGUAGUUAGCUUGAAAAUUUUAUUAAUUAAAACGUCAAAUCAAGGUGCAGCUAAUGAAAAGGUGAGGAUGGGUUACAAUUACAUAUUUGUAAGUACGGAAAACAUUUGAAAGAAUGUAUUAAAGGAGGACUUGAAAGUAAUUUUGAUUAUAUAAACAAAAUGAAUGCGGCUCUGAAACGUGUACACAUCGCCCGUCGCUCUCGUUGAAAAAUGAGAUAAGUCGUAACAUAGUAGGGGUAAUGGAAAUUGUUCCUAGGC
rnacentral:rRNA from 1 species